rnacentral:rRNA from 1 species
GAUGAACGCUAGCUACAGGCUUAACACAUGCAAGUCGAGGGGUAACGAGAGGAAAGCUUGCUUUCCUUGUCGACGACCGGCGCACGGGUGAGUAACGCGUAUCCAACCUGCCCCCAACUAAGGAAUAACCUUGCGAAAGUAAGACUAAUACUUUAUAAUUUCCUCAGAUGUCAUCUGACGAGGAAUAAAGAUUUAUCGGUUGUGGAUGGGGAUGCGUCUGAUUAGCUUGUUGGCGGGGUAACGGCCCACCAAGGCAACGAUCAGUAGGGGUUCUGAGAGGAAGGUCCCCCACAGUGGAACUGAGACACGGUCCAAACUCCUACGGGAGGCAGCAGUGAGGAAUAUUGGUCAAUGGGCGGAAGCCUGAACCAGCCAAGUAGCGUGCAGGAUGACGGCCCUAUGGGUUGUAAACUGCUUUUAUACAGGAAUAAAGUUAGCCACGUGUGGUUAUUUGUAGGUACUGUAUGAAUAAGGACCGGCUAAUUCCGUGCCAGCAGCCGCAGUAACA